rnacentral:rRNA from 1 species
CAGUCGCCGCGGUAAUACAGAGGGUGCGAGCGUUAAUCGGAUUUACUGGGCGUAAAGCGUGCGUAGGCGGCUUCUUAAGUCGGAUGUGAAAUCCCUGAGCUUAACUUAGGAAUUGCAUUCGAUACUGGGAAGCUAGAGUAUGGGAGAGGAUGGUAGAAUUCCAGGUGUAGCGUUGAAAUGCGUAGAGAUCUGGAGGAAUACCGAUGGCGAAGGCAGCCAUCUGGCCUAAUACUGACGCUGAGGUACGAAAGCAUGGGGAGCAAACAGGAUUAGAUACCCGUGUAGUCCCUGUCUCUUAUAC